rnacentral:rRNA from 1 species
UACGUAGGGGGCGAGCGUUGUCCGGAGUUACUGGGCGUAAAGGGCAUGCAGGCGGUCGGACGCGUUUUGUGUGACAGCGGGUGGCUCAACUACCCGAGCAUGCGAAAAGACGGUCGGACUUGAGGACUCGAGAGGGACACGGAAUUCCGGGUGGAGUGGUGAAAUGCGUAGAGAUCCGGAGGAACACCGAAGGCGAAGGCAGUGUCCUGGCGAGUGACUGACGCUGAGGUGCGAAAGCCAGGGGAGCGAACGGG